rnacentral:rRNA from 1 species
UACGUAGGGGGCUAGCGUUGUCCGGAAUCAUUGGGCGUAAAGAGCGUGUAGGCGGCCCGGUAAGUCCGCUGUAAAAGUCAAAGGCUCAACCUUUGAAUGUCAGUGGAUACCGCCGGGCUAGAGUCCGGAAGAGGCGAGUGGAACUCCUGGUGUAGCGGUGGAAUGCGCAGAUAUCAGGAAGAACACCGACGGCGAAGGCAGCUCGCUGGGACGGUACUGACGCUGAGACGCGAAAGCGUGGGGAGCGAACAGG